rnacentral:rRNA from 1 species
AACGCAGCGAAAUGCGAUACUUUGUGUGAAUUGCAGAAUCCCGUGAACCAUCGAGUCUUUGAACGCAAGUUGCGCCCAAAGCCUUCGGGCUGAGGGCACGCCUGCCUGGGUGUCACGC